AAAUGCUUAGCAAAAAAGGCUAAAGUAAUAGCUUAUAAAGCUACUAUUAAAUGGUUCAAAUCCUAUCUUAUUUU
rnacentral:tRNA from 1 species